GCUCCACCAACCUGCAGCGGGUGUGUAACACAGCACACCGGCUAAGCCCUGGUAGCCCGGAACUCUUCUCUUGGAAAAAGUGCACUCGGCCAAAGUGGUCUCAAACCCCUGACAGCGCACUUGCAAGCAUUCUGUGGAGUUUAUCUGGAGAUCUUCAGAAUAAUGAAACCUUCCCCGAGUAUCAAGAGCACCUCUGGAAGCAGCAAAACGAAACGUGAUGGUAAAAAAUUACUACUUGCAUUUUACUGUCAUACUGUAGGAGGUAAGCGCCUAGAGUAAUUUCCUCUCAUCUUCUAUAAAUCUAUACGUGUUCUACAAAUCAGGUUACAGUCUCUUUGCCUUGGUAUUUUCAACUGCAAAAGGGAAUAUAUCUACUUCACUAGGUUUUAUAAGAUUAACUAAAAUAAUCACUUUAGACUGACUAGCCUGGAGGAGGACAAGGGGGACGAUCUUUUAAAAAUUGAUUACUCUAACAGAAAUUAGAGAAGGGACAAGAGCACAGAAUAAGUAGGGUUAUAAUAAGCCCAAAAUAAGAUAAGGAAAAGAAAGUCAACAAUGUAAAGUAAUCACAAUAAGGUAAAGUGGGCUAAACUUUUCAGUUAAUGAUUGACAUAUUGGAUUUUUUUUUUAAAAUGCUCUCUGUAUAAAGAACACACUUAACAGGAAGAUACAAAACGAUGAAAGUAAAGAAAUGGGAAAAGAUUGUGAACAAAAGAGUUAACAACAUCGCUGAUUCUAAUAGUUAAUGUUCUAGAACUAUGUACAUGAAGUACUUAAAAAGCACUCAGCGCAAAGCAAAUACCCACAUAAUUUAAAAACUUGUCAUCGUACAGGGACAUUCUCUGACAUCAAUGCAGUGAGAGAGGAAAUCGAUAAUUAAAAAGUUAACUAUCAGCAAGCUAAUGUGUUCAUUUGGAAAGUACAAAACACCUUCUAAAUUGCAAAUGGAUCAAAAAAGUUUGCAUUGACAAUCAGAAGAUAUUUUGAACCGAAUAAUAAAUAAAAUAUCACUUAGGGAGUUUAUGGCAUGCAGAUAAAGCAUUACUUACAGAGAAAUAGGUACCUUAAAUGUUUAUGUUAGGGAAGUAAGAAAAAUUGAAAAGGAUUGAGUUAAGCAUUUGAUUCCAGGAAUUAGAAAAAAAUAAAACAGGGAAGAAAGUGGGAGGGUUGAAGAUAACAGCAAUGAUUAAGGAAGUAGAAAAUAAAGAAAUAAGGGACCUCUGCCAAACACAAAAUACAAAAGACUAAUCAGAUAGACUCGCAGUAAAGGCCAAACGAGGAAAGGUGUAAGUAAUAUUAGCUGUGGAAAAGUGGAUGUAAUUAUAGCUGGGUAGAGAGAGACAGGAACAAAUGUACUCAAAGUCACCCAAGGAUUCAGCCCAAAUACUUGAGCCAACUCUCAGGGGAACGCAGUUAAUCCUCAUAACAAUGCUAAGAGGCUGGGAGUGGAUAUUCUCAGGUUACACCACAGGAAACUGCAGGACAGAAAGCCCAGGUAACCAGAAAGCCAGCAGCUGGAACAAUGAAAUCCAGCCUGAGAAAAUCCCCCUGUCCUUCCUAGCACUCACUGUUGAAAUCCGAGGUCAAAGCAGGCCACGUUGGCUUCCGCCAUGCCCCAGUUGCUUUUACAGAUGAACAUUUUCUUAUCUUGGUCCACAAGUUUUACUGUGACAAUUCCCUUUGAAUCUGUACUUUCAUCACUUAAGGAAACACUAAAUUCUCCUAAAGUAGAAAGGAAUGAACAAUAUUUAGGCAUUCAUUGUUUUAUCUGCUGAAUUUAAGAGCCUUUAAAACAGUAAAAUAUCUCAUUUCAAAAUGACUUUGACGGCCAUGAAGAUUUUAACAAACCAUAACAGGCAUUUCUUUCAACAGUGCUUAUGUGGCAACGGCCAUGCUACCCGUCAUGUGGAAGGCCACUCAAUCCUCACACCCACCUUGUAAAGAUGAAGCCCGCCUUGUCUCCAUUUUUUCACAGGAGGAACCUAAAUCUAGGAGACGUUAAAUUCCCGGCCCAAGUGGUGAAGCCAGGAAUUGGAAGCUGCUCUGUUAUCUCACUGCAGAGUCUUAGAAGUAAGUCACUUCCGGAAAGGCCCGAAGGGUUUGUGUGUUCUCCCACAUUCAGUGCCUGAGGAGAGGGCUGGCACUGACAGACACAGGGCCUAACUCUUGCUCUUCCCCUGUCAUAGCCAGCCGAGGUGGGCUAAGUGGAAAGCUUUAGUUCUCUUUUUACCUCUCCAUCCUAACUCAGCAUCAGAAAACUACACAGGCUACGACUGUGAGCUGGUGGCUCGCAGCACCUUUAAAAAGAGCACGUUAAGCAUUUGCUUCUCUGACAACUUGAUAGCGGAAGGCAGUGGUGAGCCUGAGUUUUGCUCUUAUGGCUAAAAUUUAAUAAACAUUUUCUUUGUGUCAAGGACUAGGCAAAGAACUUUAUCUGCAUCAUUUUAUUAACUUCCACAAGAAUUUUAUGACUUGGGAACUUUGAGCAUUCACAUUUGACAGAUGGAAGAACUGGGGCCCAGCGAUUCCCACAGCUGGUCAGUAACAGAGGUGGGCAUGGAGGAGAUGGAAACUGAGAACCUAAUCCUGUGCCUCGAGUCGUAGCCCCUCGUUCCAUAGGCACCUAUAGGGUACAGGCAAAUUUGCCUGAUGUGCCAAGCUGGCUAGGGGAGCAUGCCUAGCUCCGGCGUCUCUCAGCCCCUCAGAUACCCAGGGGCAGCCGGUGCAGGGAUGGGGCCGAGGGAAGAUGCUGGAAGAAACACUGGGGGCUGGGACCCAAAGGCUGAGCGGACCCAGCCCUCCUGUGUGACUAGCCUGCCAAGGCCUUCUCACUGACUCUGAACCAGCUGGGCGGUCCCGGGGAGGGGCCCUUUGACAACGCCAAAGGGCAGCAGUGAGACCUCAGAGCCAGGUGCUCUGGGCUCAUGGCUGGAUUCAGGUGACUCCCGAUUUCUUUAGUUACCACUUCAGUUACUGUUGAGGUGUCAAGCAUUUUGAGUCAUCAUCCGAACAUUCCACAGCCAAGGUCUUUCCUAAGAGAAAGGCUGGUAUACAGUGGCCCUCUUAGGUCACAACAUAACAUGAUAAAUAGGCUGUUCUACCUUCAGCUGUGCACGUUCCUGUUAUUUAAAAACUUGGCCUCUGGACGAAGGCAUUCAAAGCUCUUCAGAUGGCAGUACGUUGGAAAGCUUCUCCCGUUGGUUGAACACACGGAGGUGCCGUUCUUGGGGCACUGAUAGGGGAGUUUGCAAAUACAGGUCCCGUCCCACGCACUUCUCCCACGGCUGGCAGAAGACUUUGCUGCAGGAGCGAUGUGUGUAUUUGUUCAAUAAGCACUUGGCAUCCACCAGGUCCUCCUGAGGGGCGGCUGGCGCUGAAGGGAGCUAUAAAACACAAAAGAGCCAUCGGCUUAGCAGCAAACCCAAAGCUGCUUUUUCAAACACAGAUGAGGAUGAUGGGGUCCGGUGGUUUUAGGAACCAGACAAACCUGGCUUCUUGCCCCAGUUUGGGUCAUAUAACUUUGGGAAAGUUACCUCAUGAACAUGGUUUCCUCAUCUGCAAUUCUGCGAGGUAAUUAUAAAGAUUAGAAAUCAUAUGCGUCAUGCGAUGGUUGGCAGGUGCUACGUAGGCAAUUAAUGGAAGCUGUUAUUACCCUAAGGCCAACAUAAAAUUAUGCCUCCAAAGAAGUCAGUGAAUCUCAGCAGUCAUGUUAAGGAGCAACACAUUUGGUGCUGAACAUGUCUUAUGGAAUGCAUUUGUUUUUCUGUUAUUAAACACAAAGCCAUUUUUUGAGCUCCUACUAUACGUAAAGUCUUUCUAGGAUGGACAUGAACUGGUCUCCACCUCCAAGGACUUUCUUUCUAGGCAGUAAGGCAGGACCCACAUACUAGUAGGACACUGGCAGAUGGUGGUGAGUGAUGUAACUGGGGUACAAAAGCAGCACAGUAGACUUAGGGAAACAGGGUAGGAGAGUGCGUGUGCUAGUCCCGCGGAACGAGGCCAGGAAGGACAGGUCUGGCUGUCAGGAUCCCGUGUUUGCCACAGACAGGGGAGGGCUGAUGCGGAACAUUUCGGGAGUGGGUACAGUGAUGGGACUCAGCAGUCUAAUCCAUGUGUGGGCUGAAGGGGACCCUAGGUUUUUCACGCUGAGUGAACGAGUGAUGUUUCUUUCACCGACCACAAGUAUUAAAGGACUGCUUGAUCUACUGCAUAUAAAGCCUUAUCCUCAAAGCAUUAACAAUGAGUAAAAUAACUCGAUUGCAUUUGAAGAGAGCUGACCAUUUGAGACCAUUUGCACUUAAUGCUUGUCAGGGUCCCAGACACUCACUAGAUAUAGAACACGAUGUUUAUAGUGUCAGCCUGCAACUUCAUUUAUAAAAAGGCUGAAGUCAUUUACAUGGAAUCUUGUUCUAUAUACUACAUGCCAAUCUGUAUGUAAGUUGUAUAGUUAGGCACUUUAUAAGUUUUUCAUGAAAUAUAUUCCACAUAAUACAGAAAUAUUGUUCAUACUGAUGAGAAUGAAAUUUGCAUUGAGCAGAGCUUUAGGUUUGCAAUUUAAAAAUUUUUUUUUGAGCAGAGCUUUAAAAUGAGUGUAAGUAGCAGUAAACAUUUUCUUUCUGCAACCUGUACUUAUACGUUCUUCCUGUAAACUACAUAAAAAUAUUGUAGUGAAUUUUGGUGGUGAUUUUAAAGGUUUUGAUUAGGUCAAUAAUUGCUUAAGCACUGUUUAAUUCAUGUUGAAAUAUCUUUACUUUUAGUUCUGAAUAUCUAAAAACUCAUUUAAUUAAUAUGCUAUUCUUGAUUUAGUGGUAUUCUCUAUUCAUAUUUUUGGUAUUUAACCUAGUUAGUUUAGGCUCAGUCAUAAUAGUGGAUAGAGUCUCUGUUAUUUCAAGAGAUGUUAAAUAUUUAUACGCUGUGUUGACUAGCUCAAAUGUGAAUUCUGUUAGUGUUGCUAAAGAAGAAUCUGGUAGUUUUUUUUUAAAGAAUGUCUGAAAUAUAGUCUUACAACUAAUAUCAUAGUGGUGAGCCUUUCCCUAUGUGUUUAUUGUCCUUGUUCUUUACUAGGUAUCUUUUUUCAGCUAAUAUGUCCUUAUAAUUAAAUAAAAAAUUUUGAAAAGUAAUGAAGUAUGGUUAAUGACAUUAUCCAACGAAAAACUCAGUGGUCCAAUUAUUAAAACAUUUGUGUUAAAAUUUUGGCUUAAAAAUGCAAAUUUAAGUGUGUUUACUUAUAUAGCAGCCCAUUUAUUUACAUAUGAAUAUAUUCAAGGAUACUGGGAGCAUUGCUCAAAAUGUUUUGGCAAUUAGUACUGUAGCCAAUUUGUCUACUAAGCACGACCCCACUCCUUUAGGUGCUGCUGCUGUGUUGUGCAUGAGGACUUAAGAAAAAAAACCUUUCCUUGAUAGCUGUAAUGAUGUAGCAAUUACACUUCUGUGUGUUUCUCUAGGCAGGAGUACAAGGAAAGCAGUUUAGACAGUUCCUAGAAAACGAAGAAGAAAUCAAACAAUCUCCUAUUCUAUGCCGUAUCAACCCUCACGUACAGAUAAAUAGCUUUACCUCAUGCUUCUUUGUCACCUGGUUUUUCCAAUGUUUUCCAUAUUUGCCCUAUAAACGAGAGGGGAGAAAAGAUGAUCAAGUAUGACCAAAACAAGAAAAGCUCCCCCACUUUCCCCUCUCUAUGGACAUUGUUGGGGAGCCCCACUCUGCUGCGAGCUCUGUGUAAUCUUGGUAAGGGGCUGUCUUCCUCCCUCCCCCCUCCCUCCCUUCCUUUGUUUCUUCCUUUCUGUUUUCUCAUCUUGUUUUUAAAAUUUACUUUAUGAGUCCACGUUUGCAGUACAUACUGACCACAUUCAUAGAGAGGUGUUGGUACUUGUACAUAAUACUUAAUUCUGACCCAUCCUGCUUUUGUAAAACGUGGAAAAUAAAAAUAAUGUUCUCACAUAGUUACUUUGAGGAUCAAGUGAAACAUGCAGGAGAAAGCAAAGAGACAUUUAAGAACUUAUAUUGGCUGAGGAUGUAGCUCAGGGCUAGAGUGCUUGUAAUAGCAUUCAAAAGGCCUUUGGUUGAAUUGCUGGCACUACCAAAAGAAAUUCCAUCUAGAUCCUGUAUAUAUAUAGAUGCUGCACGAACGCUAAUAUGGUGAUGAUUCUGGCAGGCAGCACAAAGCCCCACGUCUUCUACCCUCCCCUCAGUCCAGCCGCUCUCUGUGCCUCUCCCUGGGGACCAGGCUAUGUCCUUAUCCUUUGCCUCUGGACGGAAGGGAUCAGAUGUGACACAGAGAUGCUUGGACGCUGCUCCUUCGACCAGGACUGUCUCCGGUAUCUGUGCACAGCUGUGAGAACGUGGUUGGGUCAGCAAAAAGCAGAAGGGAAGAACCACCCUUCCCAGCUGGGCCUCCUCCGUCAGCUGGUCCUGGCCGACCUGCAGGCUGCAGUCUUGCCCUCCGAGAGCUGGUGGUGGUUCUGUGAUGGCAUUAACCAGCUGGGGCAACGUGGCUUCCCAGAAGAAAAAGUGGAAAACUCAGAAAGAGUCAACAGGAUAGAACUAUCCGUCCACACGGAGGAAGCGACUUGGAUCCCAAGAGUUAUCAACCAGUCAGAACCUGUUUCAGGGAAGAGUUUGAGGCCUGGCUCCCUCAGCCCCUCCGCAUCACGGUGUUCACUAGUAAUUUUGUCUCCUUCGGACCUGGAGCAGCUCUGCAUGGGACACAAGGCUGGCCCGAGACACCUCACAGCAUUACCCAGCGACCGCUCUCUUCAGAACAAAAUAAAAGGCAAAUAAGAAGGGAAGGGGAGGGCUGGGGAUUUAGCUCAGUGGUUUCGCCGCCUGCUGCACAAGCGCAAGGACCUGAGUUCGAUCCCUGGUACCAAAAAAGAAGGGAAGGGGAUCAAGCGAAGAUCAAGCGAAGGAAGACUGGGGUGGGAAGAGAAGGGAACGGAAGGGACAUAAAAGGAUGUAGGAUGUGUUGUGUGCACGCACCAAUUCCCGACGACGACGAUGAAUGCAAUCGUUAUGCACUGCAAAUGUUUGCUAAUAAAAAUUUAAAAGAAUUAAAAAAUAGGCAGUGAAUGUUUUUCUAUUAAUACCUCACAACGAGUUGUUCCAAUUCACACAAGAAACUUGAUAGUUUUUUUUAUUGUUUUCAUGUCUUUGGUUGUUUUUGAAAUCAGCACCUCCCCUUCCCAGGAUCAGGAUGUUGACAGAAACCUCGGACAGGCUCUUGUGCACUCAUGCCAAGACUUUCUAAAGCACUGGAAAGACUGCUUUGGGAUCAACUAUCAUUUUCCCUCACAGAUUACAAAAACCAUUGGCCUGGUUUCUUGAUCUUGUUUCUUUUCAUAAUGAAUGUGAGAUGUCUGAAAUUUUAUUUUCUUUAUUUGUAAUUGCUUGUUUUAAUACAGAAAACAUAGCGAAAUGUUUCAACAGGCUCAGAAAAGUUCCUGGGGAGUUCCAUCUCCUCUCAAGCUACCCAGCCCACUCGGAAGCAACCACUUACCGGUUCCUGGUGCAGUUUUUAGGUCCAGCACUGUACAGGUGCUCAGUAUAUUUUCAGAUUUGCCCGGAAGCGGAAUUGCUGAAUCUAGGGAAUGAGCGUUGUAAUGCUGGAGGACAGAGCCUAGUUUUUCGCCGCAGAGGGCGCUCCAACUUGCACCCUCGUCCUCCAUAGACAGUGCGCCUGCGCAGUUCUCACACAGGGACCGCAGCCACCGUUCGACCCGUUAAGCUUCUUUUAUUGCUGUCAAUUUGAUAUUAAAACUCCCAUUGGCGUACACUUUCAUUUGCAUUUCCCCUUAUGAAUGUUGUUGAAAAUCUUUUAAUACGGCAUAAAUUUUAAGAGAAAUUUUUAUUUCUCCACGUACUAGCCAUAAUCUUUUUGGUGUAAUUAGAUCCCUUUUCUUUCACCUUUCUUUCUUUCUUUCUUUCUUUCUUUCUUUCUUUCUUUCUUUCUUUCUUUCUUUCUUUCUUUCUGUACUGGGCAUUGAAUCCAAGCACUUCACACUAAGCAAUAUCCGCAGCCCUUUAUUAAUUUUAUUUUAAGUUUUGAAACAGGGCUUCACUGAGACACAAAGUAGCCCAGUCUGGGCUGGAACUUGAGUCUUUCCUGCUUCAGCCUCCCAGAGCGAGGACUAUAGGUGAGCACUACCCUGUCUAGCUUUUUUUUUUAUUUUUAUUUUUUGGAAGAAGAUUUCAUACAAAUAUAUCAAGGAAAUCAGCAUUUUGUUUGGAAUAUGAGCUAUAAAAAACGUGUUGACAAAUGCCAAGCCUAGUCCGUAGAGCACAGAUACUUUUUAAACGCUUCCUCACGCAACGAAACUAUUUUCAAUAAAAAUCCUGAAACCAAAGGAAUAAGUAGAUGCAGGAAAUGAAAUAGUAAACGUUUUCUUUUAUUGAAAUUCAUAUGUGUAAUCAUACUGUAAACAUUUAAAAAGUAAAAUACAUAUUACAGUGCAAACAAGAAAAAAGAUUAAUAUUUUAAAUUACACUAACAAUGAAAAAGGGAAGUCAUACCUGUGUAUAGGUCUGUUACGGUGACGAAUCAUGAUAUUACAGCUUAACAAUAAUUAAAGACAUUAGAAGAAAAGCACAGCAACGUUUUUAUUUAAAGGCAUUAUUCCAAUUUGGGAAAAUAUUUGCCUUGUGAAUUAUAAUUUAGCUCUGCCAAAAUAAGGAUCGUACAUCUCGGUCUGCAGUUUUACCACUUUUACACUUUAAAAACAAACCCCCAGUGGUCAUUGGAAAGACAAAAUUGAGUAACUCAGCUUUCAUUUCUUCAUCUUUACAAUCGUUAGAGCAACAUUUAAACUUCUGCAUCUGCUACUCAAGCUCAGGAAAAUGGAAUAACUCGAGUUUGAAGACAGAGCCCACAGCCAGCUCGGAAAGCUCCAGUGCAUAAUGGGCCUGACAUCCCACUCCUACGGAGGCUGAACUUAGCGUGUGCUGCGUCCACGCCCACUCACAACACGAGGUCGGUGCGGGAUGCGUCAUUUGAGGAAGUGCUCGUGCUGCUUACGUUCCCACCCGCAGCAGCCGUUAACCGUUCUGUCCACUACACCAGCUGCUGACAGAGGGCUGCUUAAAUUUUAAAUUAAUUAAAAUUAAAUUAAAAGGAAAUUCUGUUUCCAGCCAAGUCAGAGAAAUAGGGACCAGAUGUACCCUCCAGCCUAAAACAAUCAACAAACAAACAAAAUAGGAGGCCUUGGUUUUCAAGACACAGGACCUCAGGAUAUGGCAGGAAAUGGGAACCAUGUGGUAGAAGAACAGGCUCACCGAAAUCACCCGAACUUUGACUGACUUCGAACUCCAGACACUGACUUCUCUUAAUGGACCAAGUAAGCCCCUGAUUAACUUAUGUUGCUGUUCAGAAGUCAGUUUCCUAAAGACAAGUAAUGAAUGAUUUCUUUAAUGAUAUAUUGUGCACCUUUCUUUGUUAAUCACUGUUUAAAGCC
ensembl:lncRNA